CCAAGAGAGUAGACGGCAGGAAAUAA
rnacentral:piRNA from 1 species